GGGCCAGUAGCUCAGCGGUAGAGCAGGGGACUCUUAAUCCCUUUGUCGUGGGUUCGAAUCCCUCCUGGCUCA
rnacentral:tRNA from 2 species